rnacentral:rRNA from 1 species
UGAGGAAUUUUCGGCAAUGGGGGAAACCCUGACCGAGCAACGCCGCGUGCAGGAAGACAGCCUUCGGGUUGUAAACUGCUUUUCUCUAGGACGAGAAUGGACGGUACUAGAGGAAUCAGCCUCGGCUAACUACGUGCCAGCAGCCGCGGUAAUACGUAGGAGGCGAGCGUUGUCCGGAGUUACUGGGCGUAAAGCGCACGCAGGCGGUCCCUUACGUUCGACGUGACAGUUUCCGGCUUAACUGGAAAAGGACGUGGAAAACGGAGGGACUUGAGGGCUUCAGAGGGACACGGAAUUCCGGGUGGAGUGGUGAAAUGCGUAGAGAUCCGGAGGAACACCGAAGGCGAAGGCAGUGUCCUGGGGAGCAUCUGACGCUCAGGUGCGAAAGCCAGGGGAGCGAACGGGAUUAGAUACCCCCGUAGUCC